GCCCUGGACACCAACCACUCCUCCUCCAUGUUCCAGGGCCUUGGGAAGCUGGUUGGGAAACUGCUCCAAGGAGGCUUUGGGACCUGUCAGAGCAGAGGGGAGAUGUGUCCAUGUGUGACCUUCUUGACAGACAUUUUGACCCCGGAACAGGCUGAUUUGGUGAAAGGAGAGGGUGCAGCCGACAGGGAGAGCUCUCACCACCCCCAGCGAGGCUGAGACUCGCUCUCGGGUUCCUCCCUUGAAGUUUGUCCCACUUUCUGGCCCAGUAAAUGUCUGAUUGUCAACAUCAACAGUGAGAACUGCACAGCCUGUUCAGCACAGCUGGGAUGCACAGCAGGUAGAAACCUGGAUAGCUCUGCUGUGAAAAACUGAAACUAUCACCAUUUCUACAGUCUUGGACAAUGUUUCACCUUGUGAGGGUGUAUUUGUUGGUGUCUACUUCUUUUUGUUUGAAAAAUUAUUUUUUUUUUGUUACUACUUAGAUAAAGGGAAUAUUUAGCAGAGCUGCUGUUUGGGAAUAGCCUUGAGAUGAAUGAGCAAGCAGUUCAGCUGUAGGUAACCAGGCAGCUGUUGCUGAUGGGAGAUGCACAUAUUGGGUUAUUUAGUGAUGCACACACAAACCCACUGAGACUGACUGAGUCUGACUUCCCAGUCCUGACAGGUAUUGCUUAUGCAGACUGUGAGAGUCUAGAAGCAAAAUGAGGUAUCUGUGGCCUGACCUUAUGUCCCGUAUUCUGUUAUGAAAGUCUGAAGAGAAACUGUCCCAUAUUCAGAACAGUUAAGGCUGAUGUGGUUUGAAGAUAUCUGCAUUUAUGGAAUGAGGCUAUAGGAGAGCAGAGGUUUUUUUGCCAGCAAAUCCCUCCCUCAGCCUUUGAUGGUGGUAAAGGUGAAGGUAGAAGGAGCUUGGCCUUUCAGAAGGGUGCAGGGCAGAUAUGUUUUGGAAACCUGCUGAAUUUCUGGUAAUUUAUUACUCAUCACAUCUCAUUCUUUAGGAGAUGAACAAUGAGAGGACACUGUGUGGGCUGCCUGGAUCCCAGCUCCUGAAGCAACACCAGGCCCUGACCCACAAGUGUUGCCUUCCUUGCUGAGACAACCCCCAACACCCCUCCUUCCUGCUGCACUGCCCUGAGAGAUUUUUUGCAUCAGGGAGGGCGUGAGCUCCACCUCGGGGGACACGAGCUCCGUGUCGGUGUGAGCUGCACCUGGAGGCACAAAUACCUGUCACCUCUCUGAAAUGGGGGGCACACAGGGGGCCCCACACCAGAAUUCCUGCUCUGCCACAGCAGGGAGGACGAGGAUAUUUUUGGGGGUGUUGUCCACUGGAGUAGGAGGGGAGGCUCCCUUGCACUGGAAUCCUGGUCCUAGGAGACAGCCUGGCAUCUUCUGAGAAGGGGCACAGAGAGCAUGGAAGGAAGAAAAACAGGCGGUUGCCAUGGCGAUGAGGGGCCGCUGCGAUUGGCUCAGCGCUGGUCACGUGGUGGGCGAUGCAUCAACGGGAACUACAAGUCCCAGCAUGCACCGCGCGGCGGCCCCGGCACGAGGGGACCGGGAAUGGGACUGGGAAUGGGACCGGGAUGAGAUGGGCAGUGGGUCCUGCUUCCCUCCCUUGCCUCCCUCUGCACAUUCUCUUCUUCAGCUCAUAGACAUCGGCCCGACCUGAGGCACCUCCCGCUGUGCAGCUCCUCCUGAUUCCCUCGCCUGUUGCUUUGGUCUGGCUUCUCUCACCUGGACACCUCUUGUUUUGCCUCACUGAUGCCCUGAACUCUGUCCAGAGCUUGCUGCCAUCCCGGGAGCCUACCCUGUGUGUCUCCCACCCCACCUGCUGCCACUGAGCCAGCUGAAGCCUAGCCGGUUUUACCCCCUUUUAUGGGGUGCUCAUAGAAUCACAGGACUGGUUUUGGAAGGGACCUCAAAGCUCACCUCAUUCCACCCCCGUACCGUGGGCAAG